AAAAUGCAUAGAUGUCAUUGAUCAUAAUUGAAAAAAAUAAAAAUGACAAUAGGGGAGCUAAACUUCAUAUAUGUUAUAUAUUGCUAUGUUACAAGCUAGGCUGAAACUUAGUGGCUUAAAGACAUAACAAUUUAUUAUUUCUCCUGAAUCUGUAGGAUGGCUGGGCAGUUAUUCUGUUGACCUUACCUGCAUGUCCUGAUGUGGCUACAUUUGUUGGCAGGGACUGGGCUCCACUGGGAUGGCUAGACCUCUGUCUAUUUGAUUUUAUAUCCUUAAGGCGCCUAAACUGGCCUUUUUCACAUGGCAACAUAAAUGUCCACAAGGGAAUCCCCAGUGCAAAGUGCUUAUCAAGUCUCUGCUAGCCUCUUAUUUGCUUAUGCCCUGCAAGCCAGAGAAAGUCACAUGGCUGGGCACGGUGGCUCACGCCUGUAAUCCCAACACUUUGGGAGGCCGAGGCAAGCAGAUGACUUGAGGUCAGUAGUUCGAGACCAGCCUGGCCAACAUGGUGAAACCCCGUCUCUGCUAAAAAUACAAAAAUUAGCCAGACCUGGUGGCGAGCGCCUGUAAUCCCAGCUACUUGGGAGGCUGAGGCAGGAGAAUCACUUGAACCCAGGAGGUGGAGUUUGCAGUGAGCCGAGAUCACACCAUAGCACUCCAGCCUGUGCGACAGAAUGAAACUCCAUCUCAAAAAAAAAAAAAAAAUGUCAUAUAGCCAACUCCAGCAUCAAGACAGGAAGACUGCAAGGGUUUGGAUACUAAAAAGAGAAAUUCACUGGAGGCCUUUAAUAUAUAACACUCUCAGCCAGGCACAGUGGCUCACUCCUGUAAUUCCAACACUUUGGGAGGCCCAGGCAGUUAGAUGGCUUGAGCACAGGAGUUCGAGAUCAGCCUAGACAACAUGGCAAAACCCCAUCUCUACAAAAGAUACAAAAAUUAGCCAGGUGUGGUGGCACGCACCUGUAGUCCCAGCUACUCAGGAGGCUGAGGUGGGAGGAUGGCUUGAACCUUGGAGGCAGAGGUUGCAGUGAACUGAGAUCGUGCCACUGGGCCUGGACGACAGAGCCUGGGCGCCCAGCCUGGGCGAUAGAGCCACACUUGGCAAAAAAAAAUAAUAAUAAAUACAUAUAUAUAAUAUAAACCCACUUGGGCUGCUAUAACAAAAUACACAGAAGGGAUGGCUUAAGCAAUAUAAUAUUUUUAAGCAGCCUUUAAUUUUUAUUCUAAAAAAGUUUGAAUUUACACAAAAAUACAGAGAAUAGUAUAGUUAACCCAUUAUGUCUGUCAUCUAGCUUCUUUUUUAUUUUUCAAUAGUUUUUGGGAAACAGGUGGUGUUUGGUUGCAUGGAAAACUUCUUUAGUGGUGAUUUCUGAGAUUUUGGUGCACCCAUCACUCAGGCAGUGUACACUGCACCCAAUGUGUAGCUUUCACUUAGCAUAACAUUUUCAAGAUUCAUCCACGUUGUAGCAUGUAUUACUAUUUCACUUUUUUAUGGCUAAAUAAUAUUUCUUUGCAUGGAUAUACCACUUUUAUUUAUCGUUCAUUAGUAAUGGACAUUUGAAUUGUUUCUACUUUUUGGCUAUUAUGAAUAAUGCUGCUAUGUAUAUUUGUAUGCAAGUUUUUGUGUGGACAUGUGUUUUCAAUUCUCUUGGGUGUAUAUACCUUGGAGUGGAAUGACUGAGGCAUACAUGGUAACUCUACAUUUAAACUUUUGAGGAACUGCCAAUUUUCCAAAGCAGCUGGACCAUUUCACAUUCCCAACAGCAGUGUAUGAGGGUUCCAAUUUCUCGACAUCCUCACCAGCCUUGUUAUCUUUUUUAUUAUAGCCUUCCUACUGAGUGUGAAGUGGUAUCUUACUGUGGCUUUGAUUU
rnacentral:lncRNA from 1 species